AAGCUCCCCGAACCGCCUCCAUCUACAGGAAAUUUUUUUGUAUUUUUUUGUGAUUUUUCGGCAGGUUCUCCAUAGGGUUCUCCACCCAGGCCAGAGUGACCAGUCUCUCCCGCUGAAUUGAUGCGAUCAGGCAUC
ensembl:misc_RNA